UGGCGGGCGGACCCCACCCAGAGGCCCGCCGUCCCCCGCCCGGGGCUUGGGGUGGGGGGACCUACCCGAGGCGCGGCUCUCCCGCCAGCCUGGCCCGGCUCGGGGGACCCGCCCUCCUUCCAGCGAGCGUUCCUGGGGUGGAGUGGGAUGGGCGGCGGGCUCCUGGAGCGCAGAGGGGCGCGCUCUGCAUCCUGCGCUCCCUCACCCAGCCCCUCCCUCUGGUGUCAAACGCGUAGCGGAACCGAGUUAGGGGGCUGGACUCGGGGACACUGCCCCUCGCAGAUCGCUCCCGACACGGCUCUGUCAAAAGUCUUCCUACUUGGAGGAAGUUUUGGGGAGAGCCGCGGUGCCUGGCGGCCGUUGGGGCCCCCUGUAAACGGACACUGGCGGCGCGGCCCGUGUUUGGGGCCUCCGGCGCUGCCCGCCCGAUAUAGCGGGUGAUUCAGGGCUCAGGCACGCACCGCGGGGGCUGCGCCAGGCGAGGGACGCGACUGCCAGCACGCCCCCGCGGACCCCGCAUCAGCCUAGGCCGCCCACGCCGCCCCCUCGCUGCGAUCUGCUCCCGCCUCGCGGCACUUUCGGCCCUUGUGGACACCCUAGCCCGCGGCGUGCAUGUACCCUCAGUCUGUUGGAAGCAGCCGGCGGGAGGGUGGCCCGCGGCCUGAGGAGUGCUAGAGGGUCUGGUGGAGGGGAGGGGACAGCUCCCCACACCCGGGGCCCCGCGAUCUGGGCGCGGUGAGUCACCCCGCAUGCCUGCGGGGGCGGCCGAGGAGCUGGAGGACAGGCGGCGGGAGGCUGGCGCGCCCCAGGCUCCGCCCAGACAGCUUGUUGCUUCCUUUGCACCUCUCCCCAUUCCUCCCGCCUGGAUGAAAAUGGAGUUUUUGUAUCCUAACCCCAUGUAAACCUGGGAAUCUCAGCAUUGCUGUUCCUCUCCACUCUGCCUCUCCAAUCCCAUUAGGGGUGGGUCUGAGCCGAGCGCUCUGUGAUCUUUGAUGGCGUGGGAAUGUGCCCAGCCUUGCCUCCCCUCUGCUUCCCGCGGGCCUGGUUGAUGUUCCCACCCAAGGAGGUGAGAUCGUGGGGGUGGAAGGGUUAGUCUAUGUCCCCUCUUCCCCUUCCUGCCCCUACCGAAGGGAAUGGAAAGAAAAGAAGGCCAGAUUUCCCACAUCCCCCCAGGGAGAGGACUUCUGUCAGGAAGCUGUGGUUUCACUGACUGCCCAGAGGCCCUGGUACGCUGGGUUCUGAGUGACCAUCAGGGAUGUGGUGAGGUCCUUGGCUUGGUCAGUGUGGUGGAGCUAAGAGAAAUGCAGACUGGGACAAGUUUGGGGGCAGUAGACGUACGUGAGCUGACACUUAUCUGAGGAGGUGGUGGUGGGACAGAGGCUGAAGUGGCGCUCCCCCAACCCACCAGCGCCCAGGGACUCCUCCUGAGAGGUACUUGGCCUUUACGCAGUUUGCUUCCCCCAUGUAGCACUAUCUGAUAGAAAAUAUUUGCCCAGAAUUGUUUCUACUUAAUUUAACUGCUCCGAGGAAGUAGGAUGGGGUGUGUGUGUGUGUGUGUGUGUGUGUGUGUGUGUGUGGUGUGUGACUUUUAAAGAGAACUGCCUAGUGCUGGGGUACAUCAGAGCAAGGAGAACAGGGCAGGGGUGUGGGGCAGCAAGCCAGCUCUGUCUUUUCUCCAGAGCCUGGUGAGGUAGAGAGGAGCCAUGUAGGGCUUGGAUGGGUGACCCUUCUCACUUGAAAUGUCCCACACCGCAGAACCUGGGAAAAUUCUCAGCCUGGAGGUAAACCUCCUUAUGUCAAAGAUGGAGAUUCUGAGAGGACAGGUAUGGAGAGAGACUUCUGUGCAGAGGCCAAUGGCGUGUCUCUGUUACUGCCUCUCGGCAGUUGGCACGGAUUGUGUGUCUGUAUAUUGUGUAUGUGCCGUGGGGAGGGGGUCUAAUCACAGGGUGGCUUUGACUGCAUCAAGGUCAGUGGGGGACAGAGAGUUGAGGGAGAAGGAAUAGCUCAAGCUGGGGACCCUGAGCCCCCAAACCACAGGAGAAAUAACUAAUACCUAAAGUGGUCCCGACCCACAGAGGAGCUCAGAGGUAAGGAAAAGAUUCCAGCAACAGGGAAUCUUCCCUGAGUUGCAGAGCAGAUGUUCCAGGUGGGGGCGAGGGGGUGGAGUACUCAGCUUCUGGAGGAAGUUGGAGGCUGCUCCUCCCUGAGAUCUGCAGGCCUGGGAAGAGAAUGAGGUAAAAAUAGCUCUGGGCCUUGGCAGACCUAAUAGGGAAGAUUGGGGGCAGCAACAUUUACGAUAAACUCAGGCUGAGGGGGUAGGAUGUUUGGGUGGCCAGGCAGAGAGAUUUGGAAAAAGGCCUCCUGGGAUGAUGUGAGUUUUCCAGUGUGGGAGCAGGGGAAGUGGUAUGGUAUUCCCCACUGCAGAUGUGGGAGGUGGUGAUGUGGCAAGGAGGGGUAAGGUGGAGGGAGCAUGAAAGGGUGGGAAGGCCUCAGCUGUGGGAUCAAGCCACCUGGCCUCCCACACCUUCUUCCUGGGGAAUAAAGGAGGGAAUCCCUUGUGUGACCCCACCCAGAUUCAGGGAACUGCUAGACAUAAUGAUUUCACGGGUUAUGUUUGCAUUUGACACUUCCCUACACAGACACAGACACACACGAAAUUCAGCCCUUCCCAUCACAGGAUAUCAGGGCCCUCACCUUGAACCCACUUCUGAGUCAUUACUGUCCUUCUUUGGCAUUUCUCUUCCUGUCUCCCAAACAAAAACUAGCAGUUGGCAUCCCAUCCUGUCAGGUGACACCUCAUUAGGCAACAGCUAGUGAAUGAGAGAAGUGAAUUCUACUAGUAGCUAGGGGUAGUGGACUGAGAACCGCUGGGAAGAUCAGGCCGACUGUGGGCACCAUGCAAUAGGAGGAGCUGUGGUCAUUAAGAAGCCAAUUCUCCUAGACGACGACUAAUUUGGAUAUUGUUAGAGUUCUUCUAGAAUCCAGAAAGGGAGGCUAAACAUUUUUGGAAGUAGUUUUGAUGAGGCAUGGGUCCUACCCAUGGACCCAUCAGACCUGCUCCAAGUGCUUGAGGACAGGACCAGGAAGCAUUUAAGGGCUUAGGUGGCUCAUGGGCAUUAAAGGGGAGGAUACCAGGACUGGAAUGAGGGCCUGCUGGCUUCUCCUCCUCAAAUCCUAACCCAACCUAUAGCUCCUUCCUGGACUCAAAGCAAAUCAGGGCUAUCUGGUUCCAGAAGAACCCCACACUUUUGUCCAAAAUUCUUCCCAACUUGGGGCUCUGGUCCCUCUCACCCCGUACCCCGGUGGCCUAAUGGAGAGAGUGUUUACCAUACCCUUCCUCCAAAGAGCUAGCUUUGGUUUGUUUUUCCUGGUCAUUGGAUCCAAAGCAGGGAGCAUGGGAGCAUAUUCUUAGACGUAUUCCUAAGACCAAAGGAAAUCAUAUUCUUCUCUCUGAUUUUUUUUUUUAAAGCAAAUAAAGUCUGACUAUUGUAAAGGUCAAAAUCAAAAAGGGAGGAGAUAGCACAGAGUGCGCAACUGAUAGGGAAAGGGAAUAUUGUUGCUAGGCAACCAACUGCAGAGAUGAGUGGUGGUUUGUGCUAUUAUUUUGAACCAUACCAUUGUGAAUAUUUCAUCAUUCUGUCACUGUAGACUUUUUGAGCUGGAAGAUGCCUUGGAGAUAAUCAACUUCAGCUCUUUUAUUUUGUAGUGGAGGAAGCUGAGGCCCAGAGAGGGGAAGUCACUUGCCUACUGUCAUUCAAGUGAUUGGGGGUCAAAGCUGGGGCAAGAGCCCAGGUGUACCCCUUCUUCUGCUACACUUUCUGCUCCAGGCCUCCCCCUUCUGUUCCCGGGCUGUGCAGAAGAAAUCAGGGAGGAGGCUAGCCCUAAGCUAGUUCUGGCUCCUUCAUUCUCUGAGGGAGAUAGUUGCACAGUCCUGGUACCGGGGCUGCUGUGUGUGCGUGCGUGCGUGCGUGCACGCGCACGUGCAGUGUGAGCUGAGUGGCUACGGUUGGUGGUCAUUAGCUGCUCAGCCUCAUGGUGCUGAAGCAGAGGCAAUGUGUGGUCACCAAUGGCAGUGGAGGAGAGGGGUGCUGGGUAUAAGGAGUGGAGCUCCCUGGCCAGCAGGGGUGUCCCCUGGCUAAGAGAGGACCACAUUGGCUCCUUUCUCCUCAGCCUCCCUGCCACUCACGCCUUCUCCCUGUAUCCUACAGGGAAGGUAGGCACCUGCUUCUUUGGGUAUUUGUGGCUGCACGCCUUACUCAACACUGUUGUCGCUGGAGUCUGGUAGUGCCCCUAAAUAUCCCUCUCCCCUGACUUCUCCUGAUUGUCCAAAGCAAGAGUGGCACCUCAGCCACUCAGGAGGGAGAGUUGGGAGCUGCUGCUGGGUGCCUCAGGACAUAGGCCCACUGGUUGUAAAAAUAGCUUGGUUUGGGGGGGUUUUUUUUGGCCGUACCGCGCAGCAUGCAGGAUCUUAAUUCCCCAACCAGGGAUCGAACCCAUGCCCCCUGCAAUGGAAGUGCAGAGCCCUAAUCACUGGACUGCCAGGGAAUUCCCCAAAAUAUCAAUAGCUUUGUUUUUGAUCCUGAUUUCUCUGUGCAUCUGGGUGUCUGAUGGCCCAUAAGUGGGUGGGGGGGAUGGGUGGCAAGGGAGGCAGGAGGUGGGGAUGUGGCCAAAGGGAAAUAGCCAGGAUGUCCCUCGUCCAUGCCUCUCCCUCUCCUUAUCCGGGGCGGCACCCGCGCCCACCCUGCCCUGGGGAAUAACUGGGAUCAGCAGCAUCUGACUCAAGACAGUGAAGUUGUUUGCCUUCUCUUUUACUCCUUGGAGACUCCCCAGUUGGAGUCUAGCAAGUGGCCUCUUAGAAAACUCCUUCCCGGCCCCCAGCAGCUUCUUUCCCCCAUCACUGCAACCUCCAACAGCAUCAUCCCACGACCACAGCAGGGUCGGGGUAGAAGCCCAAGAAGAAGCUGAAUGUACCCUCAGACCUGGCCACAUCCAAGAUCGUGCCUUUUGACCUUCUGCCUGAGACUGAGCCUUUUGACCUGAAGCCUGAGACAGUGCCUGAGCUCCCACCCUUUGACCAGACACCUAGGACCCUGCCCUAUUACCCAGAGCCUGGGCCUCUGCCCACCCCAGAGGAGCCAACAGCCGGUGGGGGUACUUAGGGGCUCCUGGGUCACAUGGGGCCGUGGGCAUGGGGUGUCACACACCCAGUCCACCCCCAGCUCACUGCUUAGCAGUGGCCAGUCCAGGGUGGCUGGUCUCUUCCAAGCCACUGCCCCUUGUGACUGGGUGAUGGGUAUUGUGAAAACACUCUCUCAUUAUGGGGAGUUCAGGCAAUGGGGUGGGAGGUGAUGGGAAGGGCCGUCCCCUACGUCUUGGUUUCUGUCUUAACGGUCGAUGCUACAGACACCACACCUGAGCUGCACCCACGGCUGCCUGCAUGAGAUAGCCUGCAACUGCCCACACUUCUGAUGCCCCCUCCCCUCCCCUCCCCCUCUGCCUCCUCCUCAGGGACAGACCAGUUUGGCUCAAAGCCUCUUUGGAGAGGGCCCUCAUGAAGCCCAGGCCUGGGGUCUGUUCUGUGCCCUCUCUAGCCGCUCUCUACAGUUCGGGAAAACACUGACGCUUAUUUUUUUCCAGUUUUUUUUAGCAAGUGUUUUGCAAAGCGAUCCCUUAUGUUUGCCAGAUCCUGCCUUGGGUGGGGCACCCAAAAGCUGCCAAUCAGGAGGCCAGAAGGGGGCACAUUUUCAUUGGCUCUGGCCUCCCUAUGGCACAGUGUUUCUCAACCUUUUUGUUUGUUUGUUUAAUAGCAUUCUCCUAAGGAGUCCUUUUAGACAUUUUUUUCCCCUAAUUGUCCUCUCCCCCAUGAAAUUUUUUUUUAUUUGAAUUUUCUUUUACUUUAUUUAUUUUAUACAACAGGUUCUCAUUACUUAUCUAUUUCCCAUGAAAUUUUAACACUACAGAUAUACUAUAUAUCAGGACUCUUUGGAGCCCCACAAACUAUUGCAAUAUCUAAGAUUUGUGCCCUCCCCCGCAAAAACCAAUUUCCACCCACUUGGGGGCAACAUGCCCCCUGUUGAGAAUCACGCUGUAGCAGAAAAGAAGGACCCUUCUGCCUGUAGUGUCUUUCACCCCCUUGUCCUGGCAACCUAAAGUGGAGGUCCUGAGUUUUUAAGACUGCCCUCUCUUUCACCUCUCCCCAUCUGCACCCUCCUCUAACAUGGUCUCUGAGCAGAUCCAGAUCCUGGGUCUCUGAAUGACCUCUGCAAUGUCUUCUCUGGCCAUUCACAGGCAGUGGCUGGGUACAGAACUAAGUCAAGAGAGGCUCUACCCAGAGCCAUAUGACACCUGUCCCUUCUCCCUGACAAAUGUGAAGUGCCUGGCCAAGGACCAGGCAAAUAGUAGGUGCUCAAUUAAAUUAUAAUAAUAUAAAAAUCUUCCUAAGUCAGAGGAUCUUAAGUUCAUAUAGCAGGGUUAGGGAGUGGAGAGGAAGGGGCUGGAAGCCAUCCUGGGGCUCCUCUAAAAUUCAUCCUGGACUGGCACUUUCCUGGGUUGGGGAGCUGUGUGUGCUUGGUGGGGGGCAGGGGAAGCUGUGCAUGCUUUUGUUCAGACCUGGUCAUUAAAGGUAACUCUGGAAACUAAGCCUGUUGGGACUGGUGGUUUUGUUUAAUAAAAAUGUAGAAACAGAA